rnacentral:rRNA from 1 species
GCAAGUCGAGCGCCCUCUUCGGAGGGAGCGGCGGACGGGUUAGUAACGCGUGGGAACGUACACUUUUCUACGGAAUAGCCAUUGGAAACGAUGAUUAAUAACGUAUACGCCCUUUGGGGAAAGAUUUAUCGGAGUAGGAUCGGCCCGCGUUAGAUUAGAUAGUUGGUGGGGUAAUGGCCUACCAAGUCUACGAUCUGUAGCUGGUUUGAGAGGAUGAUC